UAAGUCUUCCUGAUCUGAAAUAGUUAAAUAAGGAAUGAGCUACAUUAGUCCAGUAAAGACGUCACACUAUAUUACUGUCACAGAAGUAAAGGUUGGUAGAAAAACAAAAAGGACCAAUGGAGCACAAUUUUUAACAAAUUCAUUAAUCAAUAAUAAAACCAUUUUACUGUCCACUUACCUCAGUGAGAUUUAUGAAAACGACCCAUAGAAAUAAU
rnacentral:lncRNA from 1 species